rnacentral:rRNA from 1 species
UACGUAGGGUCCGAGCGUUGUCCGGAAUUACUGGGCGUAAAGAGCUCGUAGGUGGUUUGUCGCGUUGUUCGUGAAAACUCACAGCUCAACUGUGGGCGUGCGGGCGAUACGGGCAGACUUGAGUACUGCAGGGGAGACUGGAAUUCCUGGUGUAGCGGUGGAAUGCGCAGAUAUCAGGAGGAACACCGGUGGCGAAGGCGGGUCUCUGGGCAGUAACUGACGCUGAGGCACGAAAGCCAGGGGAGCAAACGGG